GUGGGGAAUUUUGGACAAUGGGCGCAAGCCUGAUCCAGCAAUGCCGCGUGCAGGAAGAAGGCCUUCGGGUUGUAAACUGCUUUUGUACGGAACGAAACGGUCCGGGUUAAUACCCUGGGCUAAUGACGGUACCGUAAGAAUAAGCACCGGCUAACUACGUGCCAGCAGCCGCGGUAAUACGUAGGGUGCAAGCGUUAAUCGGAAUUACUGGGCGUAAAGCGUGCGCAGGCGGUUUUGUAAGACAGGCGUGAAAUCCCCGGGCUCAACCUGGGAAUUGCGCUCGUGACUGCAAGGCUGGAGUGCGGCAGAGGGGGAUGGAAUUCCGCGUGUAGCAGUGAAAUGCGUAGAUAUGCGGAGGAACACCGAUGGCGAAGGCUAUCCCCUGGGCCUGCACUGACGCUCAUGCACGAAAGCGUGGGGAGCAAACAGGAUUAGAUACCCUGGUAGUCC
rnacentral:rRNA from 1 species